GGUUGCGUAGGAAGUCCCGACUUUCAUCAAUGCGACAUCUCCAUUUCUUGACGAGUGCUUCUACUGAUUCUUCCUCUCCGCCCCAUUCUUCAGGGAUCACACGUGCAGGGAAGUGCUCAAACAAUUCUUCUACUUUUGCGUGAGAAAAUCGCCGGAUUCCGGUAUGUGGGAGUUGAACGUCACUAAAAACUGCUGCCGCUCACAGCCGACGACCUACCCUGGACCGGGCCGGAACCCAGUCGGAACUAUUGAGACGGUGGGACUGGGUUUACGUAGAGCAUAUUACAUCCAUUCCGCCGUCCCCCAGACGCCGGAUCGGCGGCCGCCAGCGACACGACCGCCAGUUCCCUCGGUCGACUGGCCAAGAGCCCGCAUUGAUGGCGCCGCGCUACACCUUCCCGCGGAGCGGUCGGGGGAACACGGCCAACCACGCUGCCCCGCGCCUAGGUUCGUCCCUGCACAAAGCGGGUGGAGCCCGAAGCUCUUAGGGGGCCGGGUUACGGACCGGACCCUGGUCCCGACCCCCUGCUCGGCGGCGGCGAAUUUCUGCGUAGUGAGGAGAGCUUUGCCUCACUCGCUCCGUCGCCUCCUUCUACAAGAUGGUGCACUUGCAGAAGUCGAGCAUAGGCUUCCAGGACUCGUCGCUCCCAAGCAUCGACGCCACGACGCCAGGCAGCGACAAGUUCGGUCCUAUCUUCGCGACAAGAAUACGGCGCUGCACCUCCCAAGCGGGGCAGAUAGCGAGCGUAUGCUCCGUCGUGUCCAGGUCGUGUCCACAAUGGUGGCACCUUAUCGUCGGCUCAGCUCCUAUCCGGUGGAGGUACUUCCCGAAGCAUCCGUGCCCAGUCAGCACCCGCACCAGACGGAAGGUGAGGCAACCUCGGCCACGAUUCACCCAGUCAUCAAAGACCGAUGAUGUGUCUUAAGCAAGUUUUGUAAAGUGUCACCUUAUUGGGACAAAUUUUCUGUGGGGGCGGAAUGUCGUUGAUGCAUCCAGGGUGACUCCCAGGUUUUGACCUUCCUGGCCCAGGGUAUUGAUUGACCGAAGAGGGUGAUCGGGGGAGUGAAGAUUUUACGCCUAAUGCGGGGUGACAUACUUGUUGGCUACGGGUCGGGUUUCCUUGACUCGAUAAUGAAAAGAGCGGUUUGACAAGAAAUCCUGUAAGAUGAGCACGAGACUGCCCGGUACACGCCCUUGUUGAAGACCAAAUAGUUGUGCCAAACUUUGUCAAACGCUUUUGCGACUUCGAAGAAGAGGGCUCCCGAUCAGUUUGCAUUACAUUACUACUGGCGAUUAGGUAGGAUUUUUCUUUUUCAUACAACUUUAACAAACUAAGCCAUGGUUUCAAUGUGCUUGUUUUUUAAGAUUUUAAUAACUUAUAUGAUUUAGUUAAUGCGAUCUGGGUUUUUAACAAAAUAGUUUUUUUUUAAAUCUGGAUGAUCAUCAUCAGUUCAGACUAUGAUGCGAUUUGCUGCUAGCUCGAUAACAGUGGGCUUGCUGCCUCUGCGUCAGUCGACCGUUUGACGUUUAUUAUAAAAAGGGUUGUAUACAUUUAAAGGGUAAUACAUAAUAGUAUAAAUAAAUAAUAAAGUAACUGAAAAUGGGGUUUUAGAACUACAUAUAUAUAUUAAAGUGUCAUGAAUAAUAUAAAUUCAACAUUACAUCAUGACCUAGAGAAUAAGGUGGGUGGCGGCAUUUACGUUGUAGAUGUCUAUGGGCUCCGGUAACCACUUAAUACCAGGUGGGCCGUGAGUUCGUCCACCCAUCUAAGCAAUAAAAAAAAAUUACAAUCGAUAAACCGAUUCAACAAGUUUUAAAACAGCAUCUGACGUCAACAAAACAAGUUCUAGUUUUCUUUGUUCCAACAAUACGAGGAUGUACUGAGAAUGGUAAUGUAUUGUUCUAUUCUGUAACUUAUGAAUUUACCUUCAAUCUAACCAUCCCUAUUGGAUCAGAAGGUGAGAUGGACUGAACUAUUGUGAAGAUAAUGUUGCGUAAAAUAAUUUAAUUAGAGGUCAAUGUUUCACCUCAAAGAAACUAUUCAUCGUUAGCUGUUGAUUAAAAGAUAAAAUAUGCAAUGACCACGAUCCAAGCGUGAAGGUCACAAAUUAUUAAUUAACUAUAUAUUAUUGAGUGAGGCGAAGUUAAUAGCAUGGAAACUUUUGAGCAUGAAAAGCAUAAAAAUAUGCGAUCGAAAUAAAUAGAUUUGAAAAAACACAUUGAAUUAAUAAUAACUUAAUUAUGUUAAUAUCUUGGAAAAACACAGAAUCAUUUCCACAGUAAACAGUAGAUUUUCCUAUCGACGUAGUCAUGUUGAAAAUACUGAAAUGACAACUCUGGUGACUUACAUUAUACUUACAUUUAAGUCUUUAUCUACGCAAUUUCCGUUUAAGUUAAUUAAUUUAUUAAAAAAGAAAAACAUUUCUAUUAAUCAAUUUUUUUUCCCUACCUAAGCUGAUAGCCUUGAGAGGCUAUAUCAGCGUAACCUUAACUAGUAGGUGAGGUCACGGGGCUCAAACCUGACGACAUUGUUAACACGAACCCUAGUCAGAGCCGUGCUUCGUAGAAUCUACCACCGGAUCGGAAACGCGACCCACUGAGAAGAUCCGGCGAGAAACUCAGUGGGCUGUGUCUGAGGGUUAAUUAAUUUAGAACGAUGACCGGUGCUUGAGAUACCUAAAAGCACCGUUAGUGGAUCGGGAGGAUCCAAAAUGACGUGUUUCGGGCGACGUCGACUGCUUUCCAUUCUGUCUGCAGGAUCGGGAAUGUAUUAAUCAAAAUAUGGACGCAUAGUAUCAAUGAAUGACUGCCAACGCAGUGGUAAUUUUUCAAUGCCCUUCUUGAAGAAGUCAGGAAACCAAUAAACUUUUAAAAAUCAUUUUGUACUGCAUCUUGGGUAUUGAAUAUAUUGUGUUGUUUAUCUCGAGGUGGGUGGGGCAUUUUACGUUGUUGAUAUCUAUGGGUUCCUUAGAAACAGAUGAGCCGUCAGGUUGUUCACUCGUCUAAUCAAAUAAAUUACAUGAUUUGCAACACAAACGGUUCUGUGGUACUCGUAGUUUAUUGACUACUAGCGUUUGCCCCCGACUUCGUGCGCGUGGAAUAGUUACUUUGGCAUAGCAACUAAAUUUUAACUGCGACUUCAUUUACGUAGAAAGAAAAAAAAAACCCGAUUUUGAAACAUUAUUUAUUGAUGCUCCGUUUGUUUUGGUCUUAGCGUGAUGUUACAAAGAAUUUUUCAAAUCGGACCAGUAGUUCCUGAGAUUAGCGCGUUCAAACAAACAAACUCUUCAGCUUUAUAAUAUUACUAUCGGACCGCUCCGGCUUCGCUCGGGUCUUUAAUAAAAAUUUCAACGAUAUUUGACGUUGUUUUAUUUUUUUAAUUAAAGAACACUUAUUGCGGCAUAACUAUAACAGUUAGACAUAUGCUGUCGGGAAACUUUUUGUAAAUAAUAAUGUGUUCUACAAAGUCGUAGUACAUUAUUUUAUUCUAUCAUCAAUAGUUUUCGCAGGGCACGCGAUGUAAAGAAUAUUUUAGGUAAUUAUUUUACACCUUGGGUUACAUUAUUGGAGUUUUAGUAAGGAUCCCUAAAUUUUUUCAAAAAAGACUAUAGCCUAUGUUACUCAGGAAUAGUGUAGCUUCCAAACAGUGAAAUUUUUUUUUUUAAUCGAUUCAGUAGUUUCGGAGCCUAUUCAAUACAAACAAACAAACGAAUCUUUCCUCUUUAUAAUAUUAGUAUAGAAGUAUAGAUGACGUACAAGUGCUGACACAGUCAAGGUUUUUGUCGAUACACAAAUUCUUCUUAAAUAAGUAUCGUUUUACGGAGGAUUAUUGAACAUCGCCAUACGAGUAUGUGUUUGUGUAUACGUUCAUUCUUUGUUCCAAUUCCGUACCGUCGGAAAAUAUAACUUCUCUUCCACUAUACGUCAUAUCUUUUUACUGUCAUGCAACGAAAUGUAUCUAGACAUGAUAAGCUAUUUGAAUUUUAUUCUCAAUUCUCGUCCUCUUAUCGACUAUUAUCGAAUAGUUACCUAAAAGUUGACUUAGUUAAUUAGUAACACUUACUGAUGUUCAUGAACGACGGUCACGGUUUACCAUCAGGUGUGCUGUGUGUUUGUUUUCUACAGUGGCAAUUAAAAAAAGCUGAGAUAUUUGCUAAUACAGAAGAAAAUAGUAGUAGAAACGGGCGGGUCGCAUACACUUUUGAUAAUAGCUGAAUAUUAUAAUAAUUAUAUUAUACAUUGUUAUUUUUUAAAUACAUUAAAAUAUGUAAUUCAAAAAUAACUAUUAAAACCGCAAGACCAAAAUCUGUUCUGUGCUUAGACAGUAAAGUCAUAAUAUUACGUCAGUAUAUCAAGCUCAACAUUGUUUUUUUUUUGUAAACGAUGAGUUAUUUUUUACAAAAGCUGGUUUCUUCUAACUAUUUCCGUGAUCUUAAUAAUCUACCUAAACGGAUUUUCAUAUAUUCAAUUUCAUUAAAAUCAAUCAAAUUCUAAUUUUUAUAAGUGUUAGAAGUGUUGUUGUUAUGUUGAAGUUCUGGCUCCGGAUAGGUAAAUGAUACCAAACGAAGUUUUUUUAUUUUUUUUUAUUGCUUAGAUGUGUGGACGAGCUCACAGCCCACCUGGUGUUAAGUGGUUAUUGGAGCCCAUAGACAUCUACAACGUAAAUGCGCCACACACCUUGAGAUAUAGUUCUAAGGUCUCAGUAUAGUCACAACGGCUGCCCCACCCUUCAAACCAAAACACAUUACUGCUUCACGGCAGAAAUAGGCGGGGCGGUGGUACCUACGCGUGCGGACUCACAAGAAGUCCUACCACCAGUAAUUACGCAAAUUAUAAUUUUGCGGGUUUGAUUUUUAUUGCACGAUGUUAUUCCUUCACCGUGGAAGUCAAUCGUGAACAUUUGUUAAGUACGUAUUUCAUUAGAAAAAUUGGUACCCGCCUGCGGGAUUCGAGCACCGGUGCAUCGCUCGACACGAAUGCACCGGACGUCUUAUCCUUUAGGCCAUGACGACUUUUUACGUACGUAGUAAUGUAUUUUAAGUAAGACCGUAUUCCAUUAUAGCGCAACAGCAUCGUGUAAUUAAAUCAGAUUCUUAUCAUUUUAAAUGUAAACGUAAAUUUAUCACUUUGCGUAAGUGUAUAAUAAAUAACCAACUGGCAAAUAUUAUAAAAGUCAGCAUGGUUCGUUUACCCCCUUUUUUUUUUUCUUUUUUCCUACCUUUUUUCCUGCCUUGAGAGGCUAUGCCAGCGUAACCGGGCGAGUGGGUGAGCUCACGGGGCUCAAACCGGGAGUGUUGCUAACACUGGCCUAAGCAAAAGCAGUGCUUUGCAGAAUUUAAAUCUUCGAAUUUAGAUAUGGCUAAAAGAACUAAACGAUCCGCCUAGUAUAAGACGGUUACUGGAGCUCAUUAGCGUUGCAACAUGCAAGCCACCCACCUAGAGACAUGCAGAAAGUAAAUGAAUUCUUGAAAUUAUUUCUAGUUACGAAAACGUUACCUUUUUUAUUUAUAUAAUAAACAAGAAAAUCAGUCUACUACCUGUUGGCAAGUAUUUCAUUAACGACUUUAAAAAUAAGUAGGAGGUUAUCAAUUCUAAUUAAUUUUUUUAAGUGUGUGUUACCUCAGAAAUUCUUUCUAAGUGCGCCGAUUUUGAUGAUUCCUGUUUAAUUUAAAAGCCGUUUUUCACGUCCCAUUUAAAUAUUUAUUAACAUCUAAUCAGCAGUUUUUGAGAUAUUCUUAAUAAUGCAAAUUUAAUUGACCUCGGCUGUACUGAUAAUAUUAUUAUUUUAUUCUGUAAGUUUCUUUGAAGUCGCUUUUGUUUUUAAAUUUUGAAUUGUUUAUUAUUCAUCUUGACGUUUUUUAUUUUAAUUAUUAUAUUAAUUCAAAAUUAGCGACGGGCGUACCAAAUUAAAAUAUUUUUAUUACACUUCUACACAAA